GCCGCCCAAGAGGAAGAUUCCUCUUCCUCUCUUCUUUCUUUCUUUCUACGAAAGCCUUGUUCCUAGUUUCUUAAGAAGAAAAGAAGGGAAAGCCCGAUUCAGUUUGAAGGGAGAAAGAUCUACAAGGAAGUUAGCACCUUGGUGAUCUUUAGAUUCUUCUUAUUAAGAUCAGUUCUGUGUGGAUAUCUGUAAAGGAUGGAUGCGUGUGCAGCUUCAACAGAUCUCGAA
rnacentral:lncRNA from 1 species